AGAGCUUUCUCCUCACUGAUGAGGGAACAUGGCGGCAGCUCCCACAUACAAUCAUAACAACUAACAGAAUCAGAAGGAUGAAAUGAACUAGACUGCAAAAAACAAACUUCAGGAGACAAAGAAAAGUGGGGUGCUACCUUUAUUUCAACAGAUAUUGCUGGGACCUCAUGCCAUGUUUAAUACACGGUCAGAGUUUCUAUCAAUACAACAGCCAAACCACAAGGCUUGAUUGCUCUGGUUUCACUAUUUCCACCUGGGCUGAGAAGUGCCUGCCUGACUUCGGAUUCUUGUGGAGACUGCUCCACCAUGCCUAACCCUUGGGAUAUUGAAGGGUAAAAGUAGACAAGGACUUCAAAGAG